UACGUAGGGGGCAAGCGUUGUCCGGAAUCAUUGGGCGUAAAGAGCGUGUAGGCGGUCUGGUCAGUCGGUUGUGAAAGUCAAGGGCUCAACCCUUGAAUGCCGGCCGAUACUGCCGGGCUAGAGUCCGGAAGAGGUGAGUGGAAUUCCUGGUGUAGCGGUGAAAUGCGCAGAUAUCAGGAGGAACACCGAUGGCGAAGGCAGCUCACUGGGACGGUACUGACGCUGAGACGCGAAAGCGUGGGGAGCAAACAGG
rnacentral:rRNA from 1 species